rnacentral:snoRNA from 1 species
UCCAGCAGUUGUCAGCUGGCCAGUGCAGUUUAGUGCCUGUGCUAGUGUUACACUGCUGGGAGAGAAACGUGCCACCAGAGUUACUGGGUGCUGCCAGUACUGUUUUAGUGCCAGUCAGUGCCCAGGUUUGGUAGCAUUCUGCAUCCUUGAGAGUGGACUGACCCUUUGCUCAAUAGGGUUAAUUCUAGACUGGAUGCAAACACA